rnacentral:rRNA from 1 species
AACGAACGCUGGCAGCAGGCUUAACACAUGCAAGUCGAGCGCCCCGCAAGGGGAGCGGCAGACGGGUGAGUAACGCGUGGGAAUCUACCGAGCCCUGCGGAAUAGCUCCGGGAAACUGGAAUUAAUACCGCAUACGCCCUACGGGGGAAAGAUUUAUCGGGGUUUGAUGAGCCCGCGUUGGAUUAGCUAGUUGGUGGGGUAAAGGCCUACCAAGGCGACGAUCCAUAGCUGGUCUGAGAGGAUGAUCAACCACAUUGGGACUGAGACACGGCCCAAACUCCUACGGGAGGCAGCAGUGGGGAAUAUUGGACAAUGGGCGCAAGCCUGAUCCAGCCAUGCCGCGUGAGUGAUGAAGGCCCUAGGGUUGUAAAGCUCUUUCAACGGUGAAGAUAAUGACGGUAACCGUAGAAGAAGCCCCGGCUAACUCCGUGCCAGCAGCCGCAGUAACAC